rnacentral:ncRNA from 1 species
CAGGAAGAGAAAACAACCGUGAUUCCGGGAGUAGUGGCGAGCGAAACCGGAUGAGGCCAAACCGUAUGCGUGUGAGACCCGGCAGGCGUUGCGUAUACGGGGUUGUGGGAUCUCUCUUUCGCGGUCUGCCGGCCGUGAGACGAGUCAGAAACCGUUGAUGUAGGCGAAGGACAUGCGAAAGGUCCGGCGUAGAGGGUAAGACCCCCGUAGUCG